rnacentral:tRNA from 1 species
GGACGUUUGGAGACGGGGUCGAAAGCGUUGUAGAUUUUCGAACUAGACUUCGAUGUGCCUUACAAGCGGAGGGUCACUGGUUCGAACCCAGUACCGUCCA